rnacentral:miRNA from 1 species
UAUUAGGUUGGUGCAAAAGUAAUUGUGGGUUUUGUCAUUACUUUUAAUGGCCAAGACCACAUGCAAUUACUUUUGCACCAACUGAAUAA